CGNAUCCUUAACAUGCAAGUCGGACGGCAGCGCGGGCUUCGGCCUGGCGGCGAGUGGCGAACGGGUGAGUAAUACAUCGGAACGUAUCCUGGAGUGGGGGAUAGCCCGGCGAAAGCCGGAUUAAUACCGCAUACGCUCUGAGGAGGAAAGCGGGGGACCUUCGGGCCUCGCGCUCAAGGGGCGGCCGAUGGCGGAUUAGGUAGUUGGUGGGGUAAAGGCCUACCAAGCCGACGAUCCGUAGCUGGUCUGAGAGGACGACCAGCCACACUGGGACUGAGACACGGCCCAGACUCCUACGGGAGGCAGCAGUGGGGAAUUUUGGACAAUGGGGGCAACCCUGAUCCAGCAAUGCCGCGUGUGUGAAGAAGGCCUUCGGGUUGUAAAGCACUUUUGUCCGGAAAGAAAUCAUCGGGGCCAAUACCCCUGGUGGAUGACGGUACCGGAAGAAUAAGCACCGGCUAACUACGUGCCAGCAGCCGCGGUAAUACGUAGGGUGCGAGCGUUAAUCGGAAUUACUGGGCGUAAAGCGUGCGCAGGCGGUGCUGUAAGACCGAUGUGAAAUCCCCGGGCUUAACCUGGGAACUGCAUUGGUG
rnacentral:rRNA from 1 species